rnacentral:misc_RNA from 1 species
AAUUCUCAACUUCAUCAUUUUUGUUGAAGCUUGGAUGUGGGGGUCGUGCAGAACGCUUCGGUGGUCUGCUCCCCUUAAAUGAAUUAGCGAGUUCAAGCUGAGCUCUGUCUAUUGGUGUGAUAAUUAUCUACGCCGUGGAUUGGACUUAGACUUGCUUCUAACCGUCUGCAAGGACAAUUCUUGACA